GGGGCUGUAGCUCAGCCUGGCAGAGCACUUGACUGGCAGUCAAGGGGUCAGGGGUUCGAAUCCCCUCAGCUCCA
rnacentral:tRNA from 3 species